rnacentral:snoRNA from 1 species
UAAUUUGAUGAUAUUUUCACACCAUAUCCCGGUGACUCCUGAGCCAUGGAUAAACAUGCAUCACCAUCUGAAC